CAGUAGCCGCGGUAAUACGUAGGUGGCAAGCGUUGUCCGGAAUUAUUGGGCGUAAAGGGCUCGCAGGCGGUUUCUUAAGUCUGAUGUGAAAGCCCCCGGCUCAACCGGGGAGGGUCAUUGGAAACUGGGAAACUCGAGUGCAGAAGAGGAGAGUGGAAUUCCACGUGUAGCGGUGAAAUGCGUCGAGAUGUGGAGGAACACCAGUGGCGAAGGCGACUCUCUGGUCUGUAACUGACGCUGAGGAGCGAAAGCGUGGGGAGCGAACAGGAUUAGAUACCCCUGUAGUCCCUGUCUCUUAUAA
rnacentral:rRNA from 1 species